UACGGAGGAUGCAAGCGUUAUCCGGAAUUAUUGGGCGUAAAGGGUUCGCAGGUGGCAAUGUAAGUCUGCUGUCAAAGAAUGAGGCUUAACCUCAUCAAGGCAGUGGAAACUACAUAGCUAGAGUACGGUCGGGGUAGAAGGAAUUCCUGGUGUAGCGGUGAAAUGCGUAGAGAUCAGGAAGAACACCGGUGGCGAAAGCGUUCUGCUAGACCUGUACUGACACUGAGGGACGAAAGCUAGGGGAGCGAAUGGG
rnacentral:rRNA from 1 species